UACGUAGGGGGCAAGCGUUAUCCGGAUUCACUGGGUGUAAAGGGAGCGUAGACGGCGGCGCAAGUCUGGAGUGAAAGCCCGGGGCCCAACCCCGGGACUGCUCUGGAAACUGCGCCGCUGGAGUACGGGAGGGGCAGGCGGAAUUCCUGGUGUAGCGGUGAAAUGCGUAGAUAUCAGGAGGAACACCGGCGGCGAAGGCGGCCUGCUGGACCGUGACUGACGUUGAGGCUCGAGAGCGUGGGGAGCAAACAGG
rnacentral:rRNA from 1 species